CAUGCAGAAAACAAAACCAAAAAGGCACCACCAGCAAUUGAUGCAUUUUUGUAUUUAAAUAAGCAGGCGUGCUCAUGCAUAUUUAUAUGACGUGCAUGCCUAUGCGCCGCUCUGAGCAGUGGCUCUGCGGCUCGGCUGCAGUAAUUAGGCUGAUGUAAUUAUAGCAAAACAAAGCAAGCUUAGGCUGAUGGUGGGUUUUUCUCCCCAUUCAGUGGGAACAUUUAAGACAUAUGCAUAUUCCAGCGUACAAAAAAUGAACCUGCACCGCUGUCGGAGGCUAGGAGGACAGUGUGGCCAGUGCACCUAUUGUGUCACUGCUGUAGAAAGCAGCUUAGCGAUUGGCCACUGUCUGCAGCACAUAAUACUGACUGGUUAUAAAGGACUUGUCUAGAGGAAAGCCUACGGAUCUAACAACGCAGUCUGGGCUCCGUGCCAAAGGCUGGUAUUUCACAGCAGCGACCGCCUUACAGAUGAGCUGUGGGAAGCAGGAGGGAGACUCUCUUAGGGUGCCACUACUAUGGAGACACAGCUGGGCUGAACAAGAUUUGCUUCAAACGACAACAAGAGAGACAGAAAGAGUCUGGUUCGACCGCUGCCCAAGCAGGCAGUAACCAGAAGAGCUAGCAGCCAAUCCGGCCAUGCUGCACUGUUCGAAACCAGCUCUACAUCCCAGCCAAUCAGUGACAUCACUGGACUGGAAAUAAACAAUUUCAAUAGAUGUCAGUUUUGUGUGCUGUGAUGCUCCACUCUGAGUGAUGCCACGUUCAGCACUGAGUAGGACUGGCAGAGGAGAGAGGCUUCUCAGAAUGAGGUGUACAGCUGCCAUUCCAGGUGUGCAGCUGCCAUUCCAUCUCCCUGCAGGACUGUGUUUGCUGCUCCACAAGCUGCAGAAAAGGCAGAAAAAGAAAGAAACAAAGAAAGGCACCAAAGCAGAGAUCUUCAAAGUACCUAAACUCCAUCAGGAAAUUUUUGGUACCUUGCUGGUUUGUUGUCUGGACUGGAAUGAGGGUUUCAAUCUACAUCUCAAGGCUGGUGCCAUAACCUGUAAGAACUCUUUUUUAGUUUUUAUUGUGUUAAUCAUAUAUUCUUCCCAUAAAAUUAGUUUCAAAGUGUUGCAGCUGGUGUGCCAUAGUAGUUGCUAUUUGAAUUGUUAUUUGUGGCUCCUUUAAGAGGUGUAAAAACCUGAAAAGGAAUAGUAGAAUUCUAGUUUCCUUUGUUCAUAGUUUGUUUCCUAGAGCAAGAUGGCAAAAUUACUGCAGUUGUACAAAUGCUGUGCUACAUCCCAAUUAGUCUUUAAUGAGGAGAAAAGGAAGGAUUGAGGCAGUGUGAUAAGGCUUGCUGUUGCAGCAAGCACUAUUAACUUCUGAGACUUUUAUCUAACACUUUUAUCUUCAUUCUGCAGCCUAAAACCUUCAUAGCCAUCUCUGGUCUGUGGUGUUUCAAGCAGGUAUCUGAGCUGUAAACCUUCAUGCAAACAUUAUAGUGCAGAGCCAAAACCAGGUGCAAUUACAUCAAAUGCAUGCUUUUAAUUCAAAUGUACAUUUCAGAAACCAUCCAGCAUAGACUGUGUUAUGUACAUCCUUUGCCACAGAGCAUCUCUAAUAGAAUAACACAUUAUAUAAUGUGUUAGGUCUGUGUGCCUGCGCUGCACAGUUUUGCUUUCAGAUGUGUGCAUUUGGCUUGUGCAGUGUAAGAAAAUGUCUUCUCAAGACAAAUAUGCUACUGCUUGCCUUUUGAAAAAUACUCAUGGAAGGCCUGAAAGGGUACAGAGAACAUUUUCCCAGCACAAACAAAAUUCUUGUUAUGUAAUUUAUUUGGCUUCAAAAAUCAAGCAAGCUGUUUGGUUCUAUACUGGGAUUUUGAACCUGCCAACUCUGACAGCUCCACAUAGUCAUGUAGCUGUUGUUUGGUGGUGUCACAGCAAACCUCUCUGCUUAGCUUGCUUUAACCUUGUCCUCCAGAUGAGAUUCAAAACAUACUUCAAAGGUGUACCUGUCAGCAAUUAAUAUGAAAGUCAUAUCAUCUGUGCUCCUAUAGAAAAAGUUAGGUAUGGUUUUCAUUAUAAGUGAAAAGUGGGUAAGAUUUUGAGAUUUUGAAUAUAGACAGUAAUAGGAGAAGAGAAUGUCAGGCUCUUUUAUGUAGACAUUUGUGAGGUUUUGGUUUGUCAAUAUAGCAUAAAAACAUUACUAAAGUAUAUAAAGUAAUAUCAAAAUUAAUAGUUAUUUGUAAGUGAAUUCAGCUAUUUCUAUGACAAUUACUCUAAAUUUUUUUGUUCUGAAUCAUGCACGUACCAUCAUUUCAUAAAAAGGGCUUCAUUAAAAUGCCUACACAUGGUGUUGGGUGGGUGAAAGAGGAACUUCUAAUGUUUUAUUAAAUUUCUUUUUUUACUUUUAUUGUUAAAAGGUGCUGUGGACAGGAGUAGUGUUAUACACAAUCAUAAUAUUCUAGGCACCCCUCUAUAGAUUUCAAAUAAAUAUGUCCUUAUUAAAUGUCUUUUCCA
ensembl:lncRNA